AGUGCAGGUUUUGGAGUGUCACUUUCAGUCUCUCUGGUGAUGCCUCCCUCUACUCAAGCUGUCUCCUUUCAGCCAGAGACUGACAAUCGUGCCAACUUCUCCAGUGACCGAGCCUUUCAUACUUUUAAGAAACAGAGGUGAUAAGAAAAGGGACUUUUUGGGGAGGGAAUGAGAUGACAUUUUUCUGGAAUAGGCAGCUGUUUGGUUUCACAGAAAUUAGGAGUUUGGCACUAACAGGUGGUGGGUUAGUCCCCCCCAGGUCCUUCCUGCCGGCCAUCAUAGGGACCACCUGGCUUCAUUCUCGUGUGCACCUGUGAACCCCGGCGCUUAGCCAGCCAUCUCACAGGUGUAUGGUUUUAGUCUCAGGGUUCUCAGGCAAGAGUGUGCCAGGAUGAACUGUCACUGCCCACAGAAGUACAUGAAGCCUGUAAUGUGCUGCUGGUCUGUAGCACUACUGUCAUCAUAUAGAGAACUCUGGAGAAAUUAAAAAAUGGGGCUGCUGGCCGGGUGUGGUGGCUCAAGCCUGUAAUCCUAGCACUUCAGGAGGCCGAGGGGCGGAUCACCUGAGGUCAGGAGUUUGAGACCAGCCGGGCCAACAUGGUGAAACUCCGUCUCUACUAAAAAUACAA
rnacentral:lncRNA from 1 species